AACUCAGUUUCAGGAUUCAUAACUAAGAGUUCAAAGAUUACAUAAUAUGUUUUAGUUUGAAUGAUUUAAAAGGGAGUUUGGUUAUUUUCUAUAAUAAAUAACACAACUCAACUCGUUUUUUAAUGGCCUUCUCUUUUGUUAACAGCUCAAGACUUGGGUCAGGCCUGGAUUCAAAUCCUGAUUCUGUUCCUUAACAUCUGGAAGACAAUGGGCUCAACUGCAUAUGGAACAAAACAAGUGACCUUUAAAAAUGAUAGUUUGAAAUGGCCCCAUGGUGAUGGUGAAGAGAAGUACAAACAACAGAGAAAACGAAAGGACACUUUCUCACGUCUCACUGAAGAAAAACUUUAUUGAAAACAAGAGCCUGUGGAGGAAGAGCCUUAAUGAAAUAAAAAAGCCUGACCAUGAAAGAAAUUAUUAGGAUGUUAGCAAGUGCAGCUUUGCUGGGAAGAGGGGUCCACAGGCGCUGUGAGAUCCAACAGGAUUCAGCCACAGGACACACAAAGGGAGACCUGAGAAACACUCAUGGACACUUCCUUGGUAGGACUAACUUUUAAGACAUGCUCUCAGGUUAACAUUAGGCAUGAAGUGAGGAAACGCCACAAGCCCUUUCUUUACCUUACUACCUCUUACUGCAGAGGAAGACACGAGCUGCGGCGGUCAAACAACGUGG
rnacentral:lncRNA from 10 species